GUUGCAGAAGGCUUUGUUCCUUCUCAUGCUCCUCUCAAGAACAAUAAGCACCUUAAUAUUCCUUUCCAGUCAACUCAGCAGAGGAGAGAAAAAGACAAGUCAGAAUUACGAGGCCUAACUCCUUCAUCCUGGGAUCCGUGCCUGCGGAAUGAGGAGAAAGGGCUGGGGACCAGCCUCCAUUUGACAAAUCUGUGUACUGAGUGCAGGACUCCAGAUAAUAAUCACUUUCUGUAAUAGAGAAGAAAACCUUUCAAAAGCUUUGAAGACAACCAAUACCUCCUGCUGUUCCAACUCGAUAGCCAACAUCAUUCCAAACUGAUGGUGUCUCUCCACCCCCAUAGAAGGAACUUGUGCAGUCUUUCAAAAAUACUAUACCAUGUUGAGCAACAUACUGUGGCUUGUCUAAGCCAAUGACACUUUUACAUCGUUUCUUAUAUUUAUACACAUAAAUACAAUAGAAUGCUUGAGCACUAGUGCAGGGCUAAACUUAUAUCUGGUGUUGAAUUUACCUCCUUAGAUACUUCAUCAUUUCUAACUUUUACUUGAAUAUAUGGGCUUCUUUAGGCUUCUUAUCCCAACUUUCUUCCUUUCCUGACAAGUAUCCUUACUUUAGAAGAAAAUAUAAUAUAAGUACCAUUUUAUAAUGCAACCUGAAAGAUUUUCAGUGGAGAAUAAAACACAUUUCCAUUUAAAAGUAAGUCAAGGAGAUCAUCAAAGAUGGCGGAGGAAUAGGAUGGGAAGACCACUUUCUCCCUCAAAAAUUCCUCAAAAGAACAUUUCAACACUGAGCAAACUCCACAAAACAACUUCUGUAGGCUGGCAGAGGACAUCAGGCAACCAGAAAAGCAGACCAUUGUCUUCAAAAACAGGUAGGAAAAAAUAUAAAAGACGAAAAAGGAAACAAAGGAGGUGGGGAGGGAGCUCCGUCCCAGGAAGGGAAGCCCGUCCCGGGAAGGGAAUUUUAAGAAGAGAGGUUUCCAAACACCAGGAAACACUCUCCCUGCCGAGUCUGUGGUGAGCCUUGGAAACACAGAGGGCAACAUAACAGGAAGGGAAAAAUAAAUAAUAAUUAAAACCAACAGAUUACAAGCCCAACAGUAACUCCCCCAGUGGAAAAGCAGCACAGAUGCCUGCAUCCGCCACACGCUAGUUGGAGCAGGGCAGGGAAGCGCGGGAGGCACGGGCUGCAGUGCUUUGUAAGAAUUGGGCAGGAACGCCCCACGCUCAACCAGAACGAUCUAACUUGGGCUAGCAAACCAGACUGUGGGUUAGCUACCACGCGAAAAGCUUGAACAUAAAACACCGCCAGGACCGCGCACAGAACAAAGGAUGGAACGGAAAAAGCCAGCUGCAGACCAUCCCCUGUCGAGGACAGGCAGCCAGAGCCAUAAGGGCUGGAAAGGGGCAAUCACAGCCCCGGAGAGACUUUACUUACCUAACUGCAAGCAGGCUUCUUUGCUAAGACUUCUGGGGGUGCUGGACAGUCACCAUCUGCCUCACGGGGGGCACCAGCGGUCCAUCCAGAAAACUCAGCAGCAGCGGCAGAAAAGGCGACAAGUCACAGCGAUCCCGCUCACCAAACUCCUGAGCUACUCGGACCUGGGAAGGGCACAAAACGCAGUCCCAACUGAAUCUGUGCCUCUGAGGGCUACCUGAGCGCUGAACCUGAGCGGCUUAGAUUGGGGAAGUGCACGCAGCCUAGGGCCAGCCUCAGACGGUUCCCGGCUGAGCAUCGUAGAGCUGGAGCAGUUUGUGCGCAGCGAGAAGGGACAGGUCC
ensembl:lncRNA